UGUCUUCUUCCUAUGGCAGCCGACCAUCGUAUUCUCCUUCUGCGCCGCCACUCUUCGACCCAAAUGAGCCACCAAUAGCCCACCCAUAUCGUCCUUCUUCUUCUACUUCCUAUGCAAAUUACUCAAAUUAUCCUCAUCAGGCUCAGCCGCAAACAGCUGGUUAUGGACCUGGUUCUGGGUAUUACCAGAAUCCUCCAAAUUAUGGUUCUGGCUUUCCUCCGGGGACUGACCCACAAGUUAUUCAGAGUUUUCAGAUGGUAGAUAGGGAUUGCAGUGGGUUUG
rnacentral:misc_RNA from 1 species